CCUACGGGUGGCAGCAGUGGGGAAUAUUGGGCAAUGGGCGCAAGCCUGACCCAGCAACGCCGCGUGAAGGAAGAAGGCUCUCGGGUUGUUAACUUCCUUUGAUAGGGAAGCGCAGACGACGGUACCUGUCGAAUAAGCCACGGCUAACUACGUGCCAGCAGCCGAGGUAAUACGGAGGUGGGAAGCGUUGUCCGGAUUUACUGGGUUUAACGGGCGUGUAGGCGGGCUGAGAAGUCAGAUGUGAAAUCCGGGGGCUCAACCCCCGAACUGCAUUUGAAACUGUUGGUCUUGAGUAUCGGAGAGGUAGGCGGAAUGCCUGGUGUAGCGGUGAAAUGCGUAGAGAUUAGGAAGAACACCGAUGGCGAAGGCAGCCUACUGGACGACAACUGACGGUGAGGCGCGAAAGCGUGGGGAGCAAACAGGAUUAGAUACCCUAGUAGUC
rnacentral:rRNA from 1 species